rnacentral:misc_RNA from 1 species
GUCAUAAUCAAAAGUUUGGUGCAACGGGGAUAGGGUGGUGCUGUUCAUGUCACUCAAGUGAGUCUUUUGGAUGAGGCCCAUUGAUUUGAUCAGAUUCCUUCGUAUACAAAGAAGUUACAACAACUGGGCUAAAAAUCUAACAAGUACAAGAAAUAUGGCUGUAAACACCCAAAUAGCCCCAAAACAGAUUACAACAUUUGUUGUAUAUGACCUUGAAACUACUGGGUUUCAAGAUAGGCCUAAAAUUACAGAAAUGUCUAUGAUAGCAGUCCAUCGCAAUGAUCUGUUGAGUGACACAAGAAUUGGAUUACCAAGAGUUCUAAAUAAACUCACCAUAUGUGUUUAUCCCAUGAAGGAAGUUUGCCCUGGAGCUGCUGAUGUCACAGGUCUUCACAAUGAUAAUCUGUAUUUCCAAAAGGAUUUUGAUGAAGAAUCUGGUCAGAUGAUUAUGUCCUUUCUCCGAAGACUGGCUCCACCUGUCUGCCUUAUCGCACAUAAUGGUAACUCCUAUGACCAUGGAAUUCUAAGAAAUGAAUUGGAUUUCUCAAAGACUGGAAUUUCUGGUGACCUUUUAUGUGCUGAUUCGUUACCUUGUUUUCGUCAGCUUGAUUCACCCCCUAAAUUAAAUGGUCAAAUUUCCACACCAGAUGGGGCUUGUGCUGUAGAUACUCCACCUAUAAAAGGUAUUGUGGAUCAAUCCCAGAAUGAAACAGGGCCAACAAAUGGGCUACAAAGAAGUAACAGUGUUAAGCGAGAGUUGUUUGGGGUUUCUGCCACAGCUUCUAGUAUGGAUGAAAUGAAUGAUUUCGAUUGGUCAGUAGAUGUAACUGAUGAGGAACUAAUGACUAUUAAUUUACGAGACAUGUGCAAUAGCAAUAACAACAAUGAAAAUAAAAAACAUGAAAAUGACGGCCAAUUACUUUCUCAAAGCCAAACGGCAAUGAAAUUAGAAAAGGUUCCCACAUAUCCUGGGACUCCAAAACGACCAAUUACAACUCCUAACAACAGCCAGGAAACUCCUGUUAAAAAGACGAAAAAGUUGUCGUAUAAACUUGGUGAAAUAUACAAAAGAGAGCUUAAGAAACCAUUGCUAAACGCUCAUUGCGCUGAGGAUGACUGCAUCAUGUUGUUGGAGAUUAUGCGCAAAAGAGCACCAUCUGUGUGCGAAUGGAUGGACAAUCAUGCUGUUCCAUUCAUCAACAUUCAACCACGGUAUAAAGUAAGGUACCAAAGGAGCCCAUUGCCCACCGGUCAGUUCCCAUUCCAAGGCAGUUCAAGUCAAAAUUAACUUUUAACUUUUGUCUCAAGUUGGUGUAAUGAUAGCAUGACUAUUUUUUUAAAAAGAGUGGUCCUCUUAAUUAUAACUUACUCUGAGGUUUCAUCGAAGAUUUCCAGCAUUACUGAAACAUUGACAUUAUCAUCUGGAGAAUUCCAACUUAUUUUCUAAACUUCAGACACUUGUUUUAAUAAGUAGUGUCUUGUAGUUACAUAAUUAUCAUGAUUAAGACAUAUUUUUGGAUAACAUUGAACUGACUCUGCAAACUGCUGAGCUAAAAAAAACUAGUCUUAUAGAGAAUUAGUUAUAUAUAUAUAGUAGUAAUCUAGCAACCUAAGGUAAAAGUGAGACCCUAUUUUCCACAGGGUUGGAAAGGGGAAAGUGUCAGAAAUGUAACUAUUACUACAAUGGACUUCUAUCACUGGUUGAGCUAGUACUUCAUAAAGACAAGGGGAUCAUUUGAUUUUUGUUUAAUCUCCAAAUUUCAAAGUAGAAACAUUUCUGAAACGUUGUGUUCAAACUUCAAAUCAUGAUUUAAUAAAUUUACCCCUUUUUAACAAAAUGAUUCAUUUAUCAUCGUAGCCACUGUGGAAAUCUGAUAAUCAGAUUCAUGAAACUGACACUUCCACCUUUCCAAUGGUGUAUUGGAGACUUUUGGGCAAGUUGUCACACAAUGUGUCAGCACUUAAACCUUCAUGGACAGUAGUUGAGUCUCUAGCUUGCUGAAGUAUUUUUACAUUAUAGAGUAUUUUUCAUAAACAUGGAACAUGUUAGAGUAUGAACUGGAACUUUUUUCUAAAAUAUGAUAAAUAUUCUAACAUUAUACAGUAGUAUGCAAAUAUGCAUUUAAUUUUACUUAUAUGUUACUGGUAUACACUGCAAAAUUAUUAUGUACAUGUAGGCUUAUGUAUUUUACAUUUUAGACUAUGUUUGUCAUUUUAUGGAUAUACAUGUAUACUAUUCGAAUGUAUAUUUUUACAAGUUCAUUUUCCUUUUAGUAUAUACUUAUACACCAUCAAAUGUAUGUGUCUACAAGGUUAAAAAACACUAAAAUGUCAUUUUAUUGUAAUGGGCACAGGCCUUUAAUAGUCAUAACAUAGUCCCCAGACAAUGAGAACCAGCACUUUUCUAUUGU